GCCCAGCUCUGACAUUCAAUCUGAGCAGAAAAUAUUGUGAGCAGCAGCUCAGGGGGAGAGGGACUGGUGAGGAGCUGGUAACAGAGGGAAGGAGAGAUUUCAUGUGGAUCAGGGAAGGGGCUACAAUGUAACAAGACAAAAGCAGAGGACAAGAUCCCAGCAUCUGAAACAAGGCAGGUUUAGAGCAGGAAAGGUCAGGGUGAAGGGACACAGGGAGUUGCUGUGUGGAUCAGGGGCUGUCCUUGUCCUGGGCUCUGAGCUAUGGUUGUGCUGCAAUUCUCCUUAUCACAUCCAGCCUUACACUGACAGCAGCUCCUGGGAGAGAGGGCUCAGCAGCAUGGGAUAGAAGCAGAGAGGAGCCUGGGACAGAGGAGGAUCCACUCACCCUUUGGGGUACCAACAUGGAGGUCAUGGAGCAGGAAUCAGAGGAGCAGCUGAUCUACUUUGGACCAGAGUAUCCCCUGAGCCUGGUACCAGAUCUGGGAGAAGAUGCUGGACUUUACAUGGAGUUCAUGAUGAAGAGUCCAUGCUACAAUGCCAUUCCUACAAGUUGUAAGCUGGUUGUGUUUGACACCACUCUGCAGAUAAAGAAAGCAUUCUUAGCGUUAGUGGCUAAUGGGGUACGAGCCGCCCCCCUCUGGGACAGCGCAAAUCACUGUUUUGUGGGAAUGCUGACAAUCACAGAUUUCAUUAACAUUCUGCACAGAUAUUACAAAGCCCCCAUGGUUCAGAUAUAUGAAUUGGAAGAACAUAAAAUUGAAACCUGGAGAGAGGUUUAUUUACAAAAUUCAUUCAAGCCUUUGAUUCACAUAUCACCUGGAGACAGCCUGUUCCAUGCCGUCUAUUCCCUGAUCAAGAACAAAAUCCACCGUCUUCCAGUGAUGGAGCCCAUAUCCGGAAACAUUCUGCACAUCCUGACGCACAAGCGGCUGCUAAAAUACCUGCACCUUUUUGGAGACACUCUGCCCAGACCACGCUUCAUGCAGAAGACCAUUCAGGAGCUGGGAAUCGGGACGUUCCGAGAUAUCGCCAUCAUUCAGGACACUGCUUCAGUCUACGGUGCUCUAGAGAUCUUUGUGGAGAGGAGAGUGUCCGCCUUGCCCGUAGUGAAUGAAAUGGGUCAGGUCGUGGGAUUGUACUCUCGCUUUGACGUCAUUCACCUGGCAGCACAGAAAAUCUAUAACAAUCUGGAUAUAACUGUCCACGACGCCCUAAAACUGCGGAACCUGUGUUUCGAGGGAGUCCUCAUGUGUUACCCGUAUGAAACCCUGGAGGUUGUCAUUGACCGUAUAGUGAAGGAGCAGGUCCAUCGAUUGGUGCUGGUGGAUGACGAUCAACGGCCUCGUGGAAUUGUGUCCUUGUCUGACAUUCUCCAGGCCCUGGUUUUAACCCCAGCAGGUAUUGACGCCCUUAAUUCCUAGCCCUCCGAAGGCUCUUUUCUACUUUCACCCUGCACCUCCUCCUUCUCCUUGAGACACAGGUCUCGACCGUAAUUCCUUGUGAUGAGACAAUGGAUGUAAAGCUAGACUGGUUGUUGCUUUGGACUUUUUGUGGAAUCUGAAGAGCUUUGAUGAUCUCGUGGCUUGAACGCGCCAGUGGGUUUCUGGAAGAAAGACUCCAAUCAACAGUUUAAUACGAACGAUCAUCAAAAAAAGAUAGGACACUUCCCUAAAUGGAUUCUGCCAUAGCAGACUCCUAGAGCGAGACCUAUUCGGAGACCUAAGUGACUCCUAGAGCGAGACCUAUUCGGAGACCUAAGUGACUCCUAGAGCGAGACCUAUUCGGAGACCUAAGUGACUCCUAGAGCGAGACCUAUUCGGACGUCUGGGAUUUAUUGCAAACAGAAUAAUCCUUACAUGGAGAAUAUGCCACAGACUAAACUAUUUCCCGUUUUUUGCAAAUAUGGGCUCUCUUGCUGUGAUAAUACUGGAACGGAGAAUACUACAAAUAGUCAUGUUAACGGAUUCCUACGAGUUCGAUUGCCAUAGGGAUUUGGCAGUUUUUGGAUACCCUGACAUUGAUUUAAUGAAUUGAACUCUUAAUUCCGGGAUUUAUUAAGUGCAUUUCCUCCAGCUCCUGAUGCAGGCAAAAAAUUAUAUAUUUAUAUUGGACUAAUUUUUGUCUGAAACGGUGAUAUCCAACAUUGGGUGCCCCCGCUGUUACUGUGCUAGAUGUCUUGCGAUUGCUGAGCGAAAAUGAUGCAAAAAAUAAUUAAGAGCCAUGUUUGGACAUCCCCGAUCUAUAAUGUUCUUGUGCAAAGCAGCCAUUUUUUUUCUCCCACCUCUUUGGUCUGGUGUGUGUAUUGGAAGCCAUGGCUUAAUCUCUGCCUCUCCUGCCAACACCAGGAUUGGUGAACUGGAUUCACCAAAAAUAUAUUUAUAUUUUUUGUUUAUUUUGUGUUGGUAAAAAAAAAUCAUACA